GUCAGAAUGGCCGAGUGGUCUAAGGCGCCAGACUCAAGUUCUGGUCUCCGAAUGGAGGUGUGGGUUCAAAUCCCACUUCUGAAA
rnacentral:tRNA from 1 species